rnacentral:rRNA from 1 species
UACGUAGGGACCGAGCGUUGUCCGGAAUCAUUGGGCGUAAAGAGCGUGUAGGCGGCCACUUAAGUCCUGCGUGAAAUCUUGCGGCUCAACCGCAAGCGGUCGUGGGAAACUGGGUGGCUAGAGUGCGGGAGAGGAGAGUGGAAUUCCUGGUGUAGCGGUGGAAUGCGCAGAUAUCGGGAAGAACACCCGUGGCGAAGGCGGCUCUCUGGGACGGUACUGACGCUGAGACGCGAAAGCGUGGGGAGCGAACAGG